rnacentral:lncRNA from 1 species
AAAGAACAAAUAUUCUUGGAUAAAAAAGAAAAACAAUUGGAUACUCUUUUCCCCUCCUUCCCGCUCGUUUGUUCAUUUCUUUUUUUCUACUUCCUUUCAUUUUUAAAUUCUAAUUAAAAUGCACGAGUCGAUAUUAGUUGAAAAUCGAUUCGAGACCUAGACAAGGGAUCAAGGGCCUGCCCCUCCUCCCCAUCCCCAACCUCUUUCUCUUCAUCUCUUUUUUAGUCUUCUUUCAUUAUUUAAUUCUAAUUAAAAAUCUUGUAAUUUACCGUCACUGUAAGGAGAAGACUAUCGAUAUUUUUUGAAAAAUUAAUAGGCAUAUUGCGAAACUUUGAUACAUCAAAAGGUCAUUUAUAAUUACUUGACAAAUUUCGAGGCAAAAUUAAUUUAUUAGAUGAUUUGUCUUCAAGUUUUUGAUUCCAAAAAUUUGGAAACCGGUCGGUCUCGAAUUCCUCGUGCUGAAUCGGUAGAACCAGCAAUGACCCUAAUUCCUCUUUUGCUCUUAUUUUGGUCAUUUUUCUGGAUUUUCUUUUUUAUAGCCUUUCUUGUAUUUGUUUGUAUUGGAGAAAUCUUGUGCUGCGGAUGGUGAAGGAUUGUGAGGGACCCAUCUUCUGAAUUUUACUUAUUUGAGACCAAAAGAAAAUAAUUUUUAGCAUAUUUGCAAAAAGAAAAAUGAAGAAAACUUCAUUGAUUUCAUAUAUCUUGGUUUCUGUUUCUCUUCCUUCUUAAAAGUUAAAACUCCCCAUCCUGAAAAAGGGCAAAAAAUGAAGGAGUGGCACAGGAAUUAAACUUCACUGAAAUUUAAAUAAUAAUAAUUAAAAACACCUAGCUUAUUCCCGAAUUGGCCCCGAGCCAUUUCAGGGCCGAUAGGAUUGCUAUCCAAUUCCAUGA